rnacentral:ncRNA from 1 species
CUCAUUCCGCUCUGGUGCCAUGAGCGGGAUCAUGCUUGAUAUGGAUGGGUGGACGCUGCUUGCAUGGUGCAAAAAUCGGAAGGGAGGUGAAGGCUGUGCAGAGGUGCAUUUCAUACCCAUACCAUUAUGCGGUUAGGGAUAGCACACAGAACCGUACAAGGGGGAACUGGGCACAAUUACAAUA